UACGUAGGUGGCAAGCGUUGUCCGGAUUUAUUGGGUUUAAAGGGUGCGUAGGCGGUCUUAUAAGUCAGUGCUGAAAUAUCCCGGCUUAACCGGGAGGGUGGCAUUGAUACUGUAGGACUUGAGUAAAGUUGAGGUUGGCGGAAUUGACGGUGUAGCGGUGAAAUGCUUAGAUAUCGUCAAGAACACCAUAGCGAAGGCGCUA
rnacentral:rRNA from 1 species